GAUGAACGCUAGCUACAGGCUUAACACAUGCAAGUCGAGGGGCAGCAUGAACUUAGCUUGCUAAGUUUGAUGGCGACCGGCGCACGGGUGAGUAACACGUAUCCAACCUGCCGAUGACUCGGGGAUAGCCUUUCGAAAGAAAGAUUAAUACCCGAUGGCAUAGUUCUUCCGCAUGGUAGAACUAUUAAAGAAUUUCGGUCAUCGAUGGGGAUGCGUUCCAUUAGGUUGUUGGCGGGGUAACGGCCCACCAAGCCUUCGAUGGAUAGGGGUUCUGAGAGGAAGGUCCCCCACAUUGGAACUGAGACACGGUCCAAACUCCUACGGGAGGCAGCAGUGAGGAAUAUUGGUCAAUGGACGAGAGUCUGAACCAGCCAAGUAGCGUGAAGGAUGACUGCCCUAUGGGGUGUAAACUUCUUUUAUACGGGAAUAAAGUGAGGCACGUGUGCCUUUUUGUAUGUACCGUAUGAAUAAGGAUCGGCUAACUCCGU
rnacentral:rRNA from 1 species